GACGAACGCUGGCGGCGUGCCUAAUACAUGCAAGUCGAACGGACAGGCGAUGAGCUUGCGCGUCUGACGAUAGCGGCAGGCGGGAGUAAAACGCGUGGAUCCCCUCCCUGACAUUGGGGUAUCACUUGGGAAAUGCGGAUCUAAUACCAUAGAAUCUACUGCAGCACGGGGUUGGAUGGUGAGAGACGGCGGUGGGGGAUGGACUCGCGGGUUAUCAGCUUGUUGGUGUGGUAGGGGCUUACCAAGGCUUUGACGGGUAGCCGGCCUGAGAGGGUGACCGGCCACAUUGGGACUGAGAUACGGACCAGAAUCCUACGGGAGGCAGCAGGGGGGAGUAUUGCACAAUGGGCGGAAGCCUGAUGCAGCAACGCCGCGUGCGGGAUGACGGCCUUCGGGUUGUAAACCGAUUUCGACUGUGACGAAGCGUGAGUGACGGUAAUGGGUAAAGAAGCACCGGCUAACUACGUG
rnacentral:rRNA from 1 species